GGGGGGCGGGCUGCAGGGCGUGUUCCUGUGGGGCUGCGGGGUGCGCAGGAUGCGCGGUUUUCGGUGUGAGGGAAACGAGGUUCGAAGCCGGAGCCAGUGCAGGAUCCGCCUCUCUUCUGCACUCUGACGCUGAGACACACACAGCGCCUCCCUGAGCCGCGGUGCUACGCGGGACAGGAAGGGUCCCGUGGUCAGGACCCCAGAAGCUCCACAUCGCGGGCCAGUGGGGUUUCCAGCCUCCCUGUCCUUAUGUUCGCCCACCUCCCUCUGCCUGGGCCUUUACGCAGGCCCCUUACUCCUGGGAUUGUCCCCACUCCACUCCGGGGCCUUACCUGGCACCACCACCACCCCCUUAGCUUCAUCCCACUAUAGCUUCCGUUUUGUCAGCGCCAGUUGUCUUCUGUCACCGUGCUAAGGGCUUUACAGGACUUUCUAUUUCACUCCUUGCAACAAAUCCCAAGGUAGCCUGUUAUCCCCCAGGGCUUUCCAUUGAAGGAGCUGCAGACCCAGGCUCUGCACACCGCCUUCCUGCUCCCCAGUCCCUAGCAGAUGCCCCCACCCCAUAAUGCGGCUUUCCCUGUUGUCCAAUUGUGUCUCCCCAAGACUGGAAUUUGGGAGAAGGGCUGUCCUUAGUCGCCCCCUCUGGCACUCGGCUCACCCGGCUCAGGGAAUGGGAGUAGUGGGCAAAUGCAUCUCCAGGACACCUGCACAGGAAGCCCUUCCCGAGCCGCAGGGCCAGGAGUCAGCCCACAGGAGGGGCCCACCUAGUGGGCGGGAGAGGCCCUGGGAGAUGCGAGCUCUUCAGGGAGUCCUUCAGCAGCGGCUACCCCGCUGAGCCAGGACCGUUCAUCCUGAGCACGGGAACACCCACUGGAGGAGCGGACGCUGAGCUCUGGAUGUAUUGGCCCCCAGCCAAGCUGAGGAGAGGCCUGCGCUUGCAAAUGCUGUUGGCUACUCAGCAAGACCCAGCUUUGUCGGAAGCCCAUCUUUCCCAAGUAGCUCAGCUCACAGGCACAAUGGCCUCCAGCAGCCUAGAGCCCAGCAUGGUGCCCCCAGGCCCAUGUGGCAUACCAGCAGUUCAGUCUCCCCCUCACAAUCCUCAAGAUGACCGCCCUGAUCUGACUCUGCCAUCUCGCCCUCCUGGGGGUCCUAGGGGUAGCUGUGCACUUCCAGGUCCCCACUGCUGUGUCUUCCCUCCCAACUCCAGCCCUAUAUCCGCACUCAGGGGGGACAUGGGCCCCACUGUGUGGUGUUAGGGACCCGGGGUGGUCCCAGUGAGGCUGGGGGCCUGGCUCCCACAGAGGGGUCCUGCUCCCGUGAGCAGGAGCAGCCUCCACACCCGGGGGCAAGCAGGUGGCAGUGGUGCCCAUGCC